rnacentral:rRNA from 1 species
GGGUUGUAAAUUUUUUUUGUACAGGGAUAAACCUAUUUACGGGUAAAUAGCUGAAGGUACUGUACGAAUAAGCACCGGUUAAUUCCGUGCCAGCAGCCGCGGUAAUACGGAGGGUGCAAGCGUUAUCCGGAUUUAUUGGGUUUAAAGGGUCCGUAGGGGGAUCUGUAAGUCAGUGGUGAAAUCUCACAGCUUAACUGUGAAACUGCCAUUGAUACUGCAGGUCUUGAGUAAGGUAGAAGUGGCUGGAAUAAGUAGUGUAGCGGUGAAAUGCAUAGAUAUUACUUAGAACACCAAUUGCGAAGGCAGGUCACUAUGUCUUAACUGACGCUGAUGGACGAAAGCGUGGGGAGCGAACAGGAUUAGAUACCCUGGUAGUCCACGCCGUAAACGAUGCUAACUCGUUUUUGGGGCUUUACGCUUCAGAGACUAAGCGAAAGUGAUAAGUUAGCCACCUGGGGAGUACGUUCGCAAGAAUGAAACUCAAAGGAAUUGACGGGGGCCCGCACAAGCGGUGGAUUAUGUGGUUUAAUUCGAUGAUACGCGAGGAACCUUACCAAGGCUUAAAUGGGAAUUGACCGGUUUAGAAAUAGACCUUCCUUCGGGCAAUUUUCAAGGUGCUGCAUGGUUGUCGUCAGCUCGUGCCGUGAGGUGUUAGGUUAAGUCCUGCAACGAGCGCAACCCCUGUUACUAGUUGCUACCAUUAAGUUGAGGACUCUAGUAAGACUGCCUACGCAAGUAGAGAGGAAGGUGGGGAUGACGUCAAAUCAUCACGGCCCUUACGCCUUGGGCCACACACGUAAUACAAUGGCCGGUACAGAGGGCAGCUACACAGCGAUGUGAUGCGAAUCUCGAAAGCCGGUCUCAGUUCGGAUUGGAGUCUGCAACUCGACUCUAUGAAGCUGGAAUCGCUAGUAAUCGCGCAUCAGCCAUGGCGCGGUGAAUACGUUCCCGGGCCUUGUACACACCGCCCGUCAAGCCAUGGAAGUCUGGGGUACCUGAAGUCGGUGACCGUAAAAGGAGC